rnacentral:lncRNA from 1 species
GGGGACGCGAGGCGCGCCCCGCGGGAGCAGCCUCCACCCUCCCUGGCCAGCGGGAUGUUCCUAGACCCAGUCCGACUCCCUUUCAGCUGCCUGCGGUCCUCCGGAGUCCCACUGGGGUGUUCCUGGGCCCAGCUUGAAUCCCCUCUUUUAGCCCACUGAAGUCCUUCUGGGGUACUGCGGUGUUCCUGGGCCCAGCCUGGAUCCCCUUGUCCCCCUGAAGUUCUUCGGGGUGUUCCUGGGCCGUACUUGGACCCCCGAUGGUUCCCUGGAGUCCUCCUGGGUUGCCUCCCCCAAGAACUGGAAUAUUCCUAGGCCCAGCCUGGAUUUGCCUCCGUUCAGCCUCCUGAAAUCAUUCUGAGCCUCAGCCUAGACCCCUUCCCAGUCCCGGAGGUCCCCUUGAGACCCAGGAUGUUUUGAUGGCUCAGGUAGAAACACUUUCUGUACAUCCUGAGGACCUGAGUUCAAAUCCUGGAACCCACCAACCGGAGGAAGAAGAGAAACAACUCCACAAAGCCACCCACCCUCUGACUUCUAUUUACUUUACAAUGAUGUUAGCCCCCCCCCCAUACAAAAAUAAUAAAAAUGGUGGUUUUGGUUUGAGGUCUGGGUGGGAAUUUGUAAAGAGGGUAUGCCUGAAAUACAUGUCACUUUGAAAGCUCCUUCCAGCCA